rnacentral:lncRNA from 1 species
UAGAAGGAGUCUUCGCAUCCCUUUGCGCAUCCAAAAAAUCCUAUGGCGCAUGCAGCAUUCUUCCAGCAAUUUUUUCAUUCAAAAUCUGAAGGAUUUUUCAUUCUUUAAAAAGUGUGCUAUGUGGGUCAUCAUCUGAUCUACUUACUAUAAAAAUUAGAGGCCCAAAAUAGAAGGAUUCUUAGUCCUUCUCCAUGCCACAAAUAAAGUGCGUAUGCAUUCUGCAUAUUAGCACCAAGAGUUCAUCUUAAGUUAGACUCUUAGUUAUUUGGCGUGUACACUAGAUAUGGUGCUUCUUUUUAGCACUUCUAGGUGGCUUAACCUGACCCAAAUGCCCACCAAAUUGGGCUAGCAAAUGAGCAAGGCAUG